UUUCCCUGUGUCUAGAUUAGAUCCGCUUCCAGCGCUUCUGUACCCGGUGUUGGCGGAGGGGUUCCUACGGAUCUUCAAAUCCUCCCGCCGUUCCCUCCACCCUAGGACUUUCUUGUCUGCAUCAUCCCUGGUGCUAUGGGCAGCAGAGGGCCAUCUUUCCACAGGGAUUAGCUUCUAAAGUCUCUUUCAUCUCUCCUAAGGAAGCCUAGAAGAGGAGGAAGAGGAAAGAAAAGGAAUCAGGAAUGGCUCUUAGUGACCGGUGGUGUGGAAUUUGUGAAGAGGCUCCACUGGGAAGGACUUAUACCCAGACAUGGAUGGAGACAGGGUGUGGGCCCCAUGGUGUCACUGCUCUCGGGCAGCUGGGAUUGAAGGAUUGUUUAAGAGCCAGGUCUGGAUGCACUGCCAGCUCUGUAGACCGGAUUAUGGAAGCUGCACAUGGAAGUCUCAAUGUGCACAACUGCCUGAUAAAAUUUGGAAGAAGAGAUUAG
rnacentral:sRNA from 1 species